rnacentral:rRNA from 1 species
GUGAAAUCCCCGGGCUCAACCUGGGAACUGCAUUCGAAACUGGCAGGCUAGAGUCUUGUAGAGGGGGGUAGAAUUCCAGGUGUAGCGGUGAAAUGCGUAGAGAUCUGGAGGAAUACCGGUGGCGAAGGCGGCCCCCUGGACAAAGACUGACGCUCAGGUGCGAAAGCGUGGGGAGCAAACAGGAUUAGAUACCCUGGUAGUCCACGCCGUAAACGAUGUCGAUUUGGAGGUUGUGCCCUUGAGGCGUGGCUUCCGGAGCUAACGCGUUAAAUCGACCGCCUGGGGAGUACGGCCGCAAGGUUAAAACUCAAAUGAAUUGACGGGGGCCCGCACAAGCGGUGGAGCAUGUGGUUUAAUUCGAUGCAACGCGAAGAACCUUACCUGGUCUUGACAUCCACAGAACUUUCCAGAGAUGGAUUGGUGCCUUCGGGAACUGUGAGACAGGUGCUGCAUGGCUGUCGUCAGCUCGUGUUGUGAAAUGUUGGGUUAAGUCCCGCAACGAGCGCAACCC